rfam:Anolis carolinensis chromosome 5, whole genome shotgun sequence.
UAUAUAGCAAUGGGCUCAUCCUAAUAGUUUCAGAGGAACUAAUAACUUUUAGAAAUAUGUUAAUGGCAAAUGUGCCAAUGUAAAGAAUUAGAUUAGCAAUGCAUUCUUUUGCACUGAAAUAAGAGUAUAAUAAAUGUAUCUCAGGUGACUCAGGCUGCAGUGAUUUUUAUUGCAGAUUAAAGCUUGAUGGUCCUUUGAUUGGUUGAUUAAACCUUUAGAAAUUAACACCCAGUGCUAAAGUUUUCGGCGCAAUUGAAAUGCAAA